UAAUAAUAUAUUCAGAGUAAAGUGUUCCAACUGCUGGACUCUGAUGUGCCGAGCUCUCUGGAUCAGAUAGAUAGCAGGGAUUCAGAUGCGGUCAAACUCAGGAGAAAAUCAAAGAAACAUUCCCGCAAUCAUAAACUCAGAGAAACCAUGUUUUUUGCAGAUUAGUUUGUUACAAGUGUUACGGAGACGAAAUAUCGUCAUGUUAUGGUUGUUCAAUAGACUGAUUCCCAGCAUGUCAGGGUUGUAUAUAGACUGAUUUCCCAUGGCAUGAUCUAUGUUAUAUUUGUAGCAAUCUUGUUUUAAAAUGUAAAUAAAAAUAAACCUGUUUUCUGAA